CUACAAUAUUGAUGGUGGAAUCGUUUGCCUAAAUGCAUGGAAACACCUACUCUAUUUGGAGAUGCGACUACAAUAAUGACUGGAAAUAUUCGGCUAGAUGUGUAUUUUUAUCUGGAGACGAGACAAUGAAAAUAUUUGGCUGGAUAUGCAUCUAAAGUGUAUAUGAAGAAAAUGAUUUUCAUCCAGGUUACAUGGAAAAUGGAUGUGGUUUUAUGGAGAAUAUAUCUGGAGAUGCGACUACAAUGAUGAUGGUGGAAUCGUUUGCCUAAAUGCAUGUAAAGACCUACUCUAUUUGGAGAUGCGACUACAAUAAUGAUGGUGGAAAUAUUCGGCUAGAUGUUUGGGUUUAUCUGGAGACGAGACAAUGAAAAUAUUUGGCUGGAAAUCCAUCUAAAGUGCAUAUGAAGAAAAGGAAUGGCAGAUAGGAAUUACUACUGAUUUCAUGUCUUCCUUCUACGAUAAACGUCAUGGCGAUUUAUCUGCUACUGUCAUAAUUGCAGCGUUCAGGUCAUCAACAUUUAUUUUUGUUCUAUUGACUGGUCUCGUAUCUUCGGUGCUUUUCAUUGCAAAUUUUAUUGUUAUCUAUAAGAUGUUUAUUAUAGAUAAAAUCUGUAUCAGAAAUUAUUUCUCUUGUUUUUGAAAAGUAAAUUAACUAUGUGAAAGUUUAUGAUUGAUAAAAAUACUAGGUUCAAAAAUUAGAUUUUGGCUUUAAUAUUUUAAAACUUUUGCUGGAAUUUAAGAUAUUCGAGAAAGUUUUAGUCUUAAUUUUUUUUACAAAGAUUUACUUUUUAAGCCUUUUGCGCAAACUUUCAAAAUUUCUA